AACGAACGCUGGCGGCAGGCCUAACACAUGCAAGUCGAGCGAAGCCUUCGGGCUUAGCGGCGGACGGGUGAGUAACGCGUGGGAACGUGCCCUUUGGUACGGAAUAGCCCCGGGAAACUGGGAGUAAUACCGUAUGUGCCCUUCGGGGGAAAGAUUUAUCGCCAAAGGACGGGCCCGCGUUUGAUUAGGUAGUUGGUGGGGUAGUGGCCUACCAAGCCGUCGAUCCAUAGCUGGUUUGAGGGGAUGAUCAGCCACACUGGGACUGAGACACGGCCCAGACUACUACGGGAGGCAGCAGUGGGGAAUCUUAGACAAUGGGGGAAACCCUGAUCUAGCCAUGCCGCGUGAUCGAUGCAGGCAUUAGGGUUGUAAAGAUCUUUCAGUGGGGAAGAUAAUGACUGUACCCACAGAAGAAGCCCCGGCUAACUCCGUGCCAGCAGCCGCAGUAACAC
rnacentral:rRNA from 1 species